rnacentral:tRNA from 1 species
GUAAAGUUGGCAGAUAAAUGUAGUUGGCUUAGGACCAUCCUAUAAGGUAUUCCACCUUACUUUACU